GGUAUCAUUCCUUAGUCUGUGGACCAUCCCUAUGAAGUUUGCUGCAUUCAUUCAGUCCAUGAUCUCUUGUAACCGUCCUUCAGGGCAGGAGACAUGGUGUGUGGUGUUGGAUUGUUGCCUGAUGAUGUCACCACUGAGCUCAUCUGGUCUCGUCGAAGUUCAUUCUUUGCUGGGGUGAUGAUCUGAGGGAUGUCAGGUUCAGUCGAUGAUGACCUGAGAACAGGACUGGGAGACUCCUGCUGCUGGUUUUUCCCAUGACUGUUCUCUGCUGAUGAUCAUGACGGUACAUAUUUUCAGAGCCCAGAGUGGCAGAGACAGGCAUAUAGCUGAUGGGCUAUAGAAGCCUUAUAUAGCAGGCAACAGCAUGUAAUUAAGUUUAUUGUCUGUUUUCCCCAAAAUUAAAUCCCCUUGAGGUACACACCAGACUUCCGCAUCUUCUCACAUAAUCCACCAAUUAUAUCCAGGUUCCUGAGCAAAAGCAAUCCCACGACUGCGUUUGCCUUUACCUGAAGAAGGAAUAACCCGGACUGUCUUCCCCAGCAAAUUCUUUAUGUGCACCACAGGAACUUCAUCCCCCUCUGCAGUACAUAAAAGUUCCGAUUGGGCUGGGCUAGCCCUGUUGGCAGAUCCCCUAGUGUUGACCAACCAGGUGGCUUUUGGUAAAUGUGUACCCCAAUGUUUGAAAGUCCCACUGCCCAUUGCUCUCAGUGUAGUUUUUAACAGGCCAUUGUACCGUUCAAUUUUCCCAGAGGCUGAUGGGGAUGUGCUGUGGGGACAGCCAUGAUGUGCUGUGGUAUAGAAGAAACUACUAGGAAGAAAAUUAACUGUUAAGCUGAAACCAGCACAGCAGUGUAAUUUUAAUUACCAUUUCUAAAGCAAUGCAUAAAAAGAGUAUAAAAUUUUUCAUUGCAGGUUGAUUAGCUAGAAGAAAUGUCAGGUAGGCAAAUUGGUGCAAUUCUUACUAAAAAGCUGAUUCUGAAUAAUAUUCAAAGUAUCAUGUAACAGAAGGCUUUUGUGUCUGUAUAUAAAAUUGACAGGAUCGUUCCAUUGUCUGAUAAGUCAGUAACUGGCAAGAGGCAACCAGCUGAUUUACCUUUAAGCAGAAGUAUAUAUAUUCACUCAGUAAGGUAUAUGAUACCUCUCUUUGUAUGCUUACAACUGUUGUAGCUUGUAAUGUUAGUGGAAUUCCAUAAAGUGAUGCCCUGAUCAGCAAGGAACUGGGGUGUGCAUUUAAGUUUUAUCCUACUGAAACCAGUGCUGCUUAUAUGCUUUAAGUUGGUGCCCCUAAAGUAUCUUGCUGAAAUGGCAGUUGGCACAUUAGCAUAUGCUCCAAUUCAGUCUUUUAUUUGUCUGUAUCUUCAUGUUACCAUACGAUAGAUCAUUGAGAGCAGUUCCAUAAAUGUGAUAAUGUAGAAGGUACUGCUACCUUAAAGGUUUUUUGUUUUUUGUUUUUGUAACAUAAUUGACUCCUUCGAUUCAUCACAGUAUUACAUGUGAAUAUUCAGUAAAUAUUAUUGAUACACUUUUAUUUAAAUUCAGGCUGUACAGUAAAUGGUAUUUUUGACAUAGAUGGAUAAAGGAAUUCAUAUCACUACUGUUUGCAAGUUUAUCGUAAGAUCAUUUAGCUUCAGCAGUUGGUUUGUUAUUAGAUUUUACUCUAAAAGUGUACUUUAUUGGCAUUUAAAACUGAGCAGUGAUUAUUUCUGUUGCUGCAGUUUUGAUCUCAGAGGUUGCCUACCCAGGGGAUUUAUUCCAUAGUAAACUUUAGUGUGAAUUUAGCUGUUGUAAGCAAGCGUCUCCUGGACUGUUGGCAUGUGAAGUUGCUGUAUAUUUACAGCCUACUUUUCUGCAUAGUUAGUUUUUCAUGCAGAUGAACUGUCAGAAUAAACUACUUACUACUUAUUGCCCAGUGGUUUUUCUUAGCAUUUGUCUCAAUUUCUGGUCAAUUACAGAUGCUCUUGUGAAAUCCUUUCUGUGCUGUAUAAAGCCAAUGUUUGGUGGAACCAAGGUUCUAAAGACUAAAGAGGGAACACUAAACGCUAAAGAAGGAACUGAACUUUUUCAGUUUAAUGUGAAUCACGCUAUUGCUUGACAUUUUCACUUGAGUUGUAUUUCACUGUGUAGAUCAGAUCAGGCUAUGUCAUUGGAAAACCUAUUGUGUUUCAGCCAUGGACUGUGUUCCCAUCACAGUGGCUAUAAGCCUUAAGACUUUAAAAAGGUCAAAAAUAAGGUCCUUUCCUUUUGCAAAACCUUAGUUGUUUUUUGUUUGUUUGUUUUGUUUUUUUUAACCUGUUCCUUCUGUGCUUAUCUUCAGCUGCCAAUGGCCCCAAGCGGUUUCCUACCCCUCAAGGACUAAGGGUGGUGAGGAGUAAGGAAGGCCUUGUGGAAAAAGAUAAAAAAGCACUGUGUUAUGGAAUACUCUACUAGCCUAUAUUUUUAGGGAAUCCAGCAAGUGAUCCAAGGGAUAGCUGUAAUAUUUUGAUAGUAAGAAAGUGACUACCAUGAAAUGAACCAGGACAGGCAGGUGUAGCUUUGAUUUUACUUGCAAGGAGUUUUGAGGUGUUAGGUAACGUGUCUAUCUUUUGGACUGUUUUGUGAUACCUGCAUGACAUCAUCACUAAAUGUCUCUUGCCAUUUGAUAAUAAAGCUAUUACAUAAAACAUGGAACAUUGUAUCUUUUAGUACAAUGAAGCAUACUAAACUUCACAUUAAGCUUAUCUUUUUUAUUGACCUGUUUAAAAGGGAUGAAUUCUUCUUAAAUGGUGUUUUUAAUGACUGAUUAAAAAUUAAACUGAGCUGUUUACAUCUGUAGAUGAGAUUAAUUUUGUUUCUACCUCUAUUUCAGAAUAUGUAGAUAAACUUGACUUUUCUAAUUUUUCACAACAGUAAUUUUGAAAAGUUUUUGUAUUUUGCACUGAAAGGCAUAAUUUGCUUUUUUUAUGAAUUCUUGAUGAAAGGCUCAUGUGCUGAAGUUAUAAUUCAUCUUCCCUUUAUAUUCUGUUCUUUCCAGUUUAUGAAAUUCUCUUUUUGUGCCUUGUAUAGAAAAUUGAUGCUGAAAGCUUGCCAAAAGGUUAAGAAAACAGAAGUAAAAAGGUGUGAAGUCUUUCUUAAAAAGUUAGUGAAUGAUACUAUUAUGUAAAGUCAAAGCAUGGCUUUUGUUGUUAGGUAACUCUGAAAGAUUUUUGUGUGCUGUUCCUGAGCCUAUUCAUCCUGUAUAGUUUCUGUGAUAACCUAUUUUUAUGACAGUAACGACACGUGUGGAUUGCUCUGCUUUGCAUUAGAACUGAUGUAUGUUUCCUGCCUCAUACUCUGCCGUUCACUGGGAUUAAGCUGCCCUACCAGCAGAACAGACUCAGCCAGGUAGCUGAUCCAGGACUGAAAUACCCAGCAGUUACUGCAGUAUACAAGGAAGAAUUUGGGUCUGGAUUAUGAGAGCUAAAUUGAUGACUGGUGUAUAACUAUGCAAGAGGCCUUGUAAAAGCUUCUUUCUGUAGAUGGUCUUCAAAGCACAGAAAAUUCUGCUUCUGCACAUCUCUAGGACUUCAAUAUCAUCUUCAUAGCCUCAGGAGGUCAGCAGGCUCUGGAGAGGAGUGGAGUGCCACAGUGGGACAUACCUUUUAAAAUUUUGCAUUGUAACUAAAAUGUAAUGUUACGGGAGUAACUUCUGAUGUUUCUUUCACAACACUUGCCCUUGAGCAGUUGUAUCCAAUAAUUUGGAAUUUGCAGUGUUUACUGUACUUGGAAAAAUUCUAUGCCAUGAAAAGGGGCUUUGAGCAAAUCACAAUUCCACAGACUUUCUCAACAUCAUAAAUAAUACUUAGAAGAAUUCAUAAUAUAGUUUAGUGUUGUGGCCUUACUCAAGAACAUCUAAGCAAUUCACAAAGUUUACUGACAAAAUUGCCAUAUUUUGGGUGUUUCCUGUGAUGGGAAUAUUGCUCAAGAAGACUGACAGAUUAAAGCUACUAGCCUUUGAAUUAGG